CAGUUCUGUCUUCUAGAACGAAAUUUGGCAGAUUUUGAUAGACUAUGUCUGAAAAUAGUCUCAAAAUCGAGUAAAUGCUAUGUUCAUAGAUUAGCAUCCCAGCCAAUGCAGGUCUUACACCCAGCAUCUCAGCAGUUCUAGAUAGCCAGCUCCCUAUUGCACUAGAAUACACA